AUUGAACGCUGGCGGCGUGCUUAACACACGCAAGUCGAACGGCAGCAUGACCUAGCUUGCUAGGUUGAUGGCGAGUGGCGAACGGGUGAGUAACGCGUAGGAAUAUACCUUAAAGAGGGGGACAACUUGGGGAAACUCAAGCUAAUACCGCAUAAUUUCCUUGGAAAAAAGCUGGGGACCUUCGGGCCUGGCGCUUUAAGAUUAGCCUGCGUACGAUUAGCUAGUUGGUAGGGUAAAGGCCUACCAAGGCGACGAUCGUUAGCUGGUCUGAGAGGAUGACCAGCCACACUGGAACUGAGACACGGUCCAGACUCCUACGGGAGGUAGCAGUGGGGAAUAUUGGACAAUGGGGGCAACCCUGAUCCAGCAAUGCCGCGUGUGUGAAGAAGGCCUGAGGGUUGUAAAGCACUUUCAGUGGGGAGGAGGGUUGACAGGUUAAGAGCUAGUUGACUGGACGUUACCCACAGAAGAAGCACCGGCUAACUCCGUGCCAGCAGCCGCAGUAACAC
rnacentral:rRNA from 1 species